UACGUAGGGGGCAAGCGUUGUCCGGAUUUAUUGGGCGUAAAGAGCGUGUAGGCGGCUAGGUAGGUCCGUUGUGAAAACUCGAGGCUCAACCUCGAGACGUCGAUGGAAACCAUCUAGCUAGAGUCCGGAAGAGGAGAGUGGAAUUCCUGGUGUAGCGGUGAAAUGCGCAGAUAUCAGGAAGAACACCGGUGGCGAAGGCGGCCUUCUGGACAGUGACUGACGCUGAGACGCGAAAGCGUGGGGAGCAAACAGG
rnacentral:rRNA from 1 species